ensembl:lncRNA LZTS1-AS1 LZTS1 antisense RNA 1
CAAGGACAGCAGUAGGAGCUUACUGCAGUGACUGUAUCAUAACUGCUGGUUAUGAGGAUUGGAUUUCUUUUUUGCAGAUGUCACGUGCCGGGGUGAACUGUUAUUAACUAAAAGGAGUCAGGGCUUAGCUGCAAGAAAGGAGGAAUUGCUCUUAAAGUGCUUGGAAGUCACCGAUCUAACCAACGGACAAAAAAUUUCCUGAGGACAGACCCUCCCCUCUGGAGGCAUCCUUCUAUCAUUGGCUCCUGACUCCCCGAAGCAAGGUCAAGUGGGAGUUUAAUAGCUGUUCCUGGGACUGUGCAGAGGGCAGCCCUUUGAACUCAGUGUCUCAAUCCCACAGGUGGGAGGUUCCCACCACUGCGUAAUUUCGAGAGGGAGGGCCGAGACUGCCUGGGGGGAAGUCCCAUGGCUACCUGGUUCGAGGCAGCUCUUUGAUAUCUCCUGGAGCACUCCUGGUCCUAGAACCAGACAGCUCUCAACUGAACUGACACAAGUAACAAACUCAGCAUCCCCUCUCCUGGGCAUUCCUACAAGCCAUGCGAGCCCCGUGUUGGUGGAGACACUGCCUUCUCCACCGCAGACACCAACAAGUUAGAAUGGAGAAACUGUCUAUGGCCCUACCACUCUGAACACGCCGGAUGUCAUCUCAUCUCGGAAGCUAAGCAGGGUCGGGCCUGCUUAGGACUUGGGUGGGAGAAUGGAGAAAUUGAUGGACUUUUGACGAUGCAGGUUUUAACAUCAGAUCUGAGCCCUAAUAGCUGUGUGUCUCAGCUGUCUGGGCCACACCAUUAACAGGGAAAAGUUUCCUCCACUUAAAGAAAGAAAAAGACAAAGAGGAGAAGGAAGGCAAUACGGAGCUCUCCUGGAAGGUACAUUAAAUCAUUAAAUGCCA